AUCUACACGACCCUCUCAUUCCAACAAUGAAGGUAGGGACAUGACUCGUGUACGGAUUACGCGAUCGUGUUCAAGAACUUGAUGAUUAACCAGGGCCAGGUGUGGUUGCCAUACUACUGGUAUUACCUGGCCUAAGUUUCCCUUUAGGAGUUGUGCUUCAGAGGCUAGUUGUGCCAGUUCGUCUGCUGAUGCGAAAUAUAAGCACACACAAAUUAAACCCUCUUUUUGACAAUUGUAGCAAAGUAUGUAAGUAGGGAUCGUUCUAAA
rnacentral:lncRNA from 1 species